UACGGGGGGAGCAAGCGUUGUUCGGAUUUACUGGGCGUAAAGGGCGCGUAGGCGGCCUUCUAAGUCGAACGUGAAAUCCCCGGGCUCAACCCGGGAACUGCGUCCGAGACUGAAAGGCUCGAAUCCGGGAGAGGGAUGUGGAAUUCCAGGUGUAGCGGUGAAAUGCGUAGAUAUCUGGAGGAACAUCGGUGGCGAAGGCGGCAUCCUGGACCGGUAUUGACGCUGAGGCGCGAAAGCCAGGGGAGCAAACGGG
rnacentral:rRNA from 1 species